rnacentral:rRNA from 1 species
GACGUAGGGAGCGAGCGUUGUCCGGAUUCAUUGGGCGUAAAGAGCGCGCAGGCGGUUUGGUAAGUCGGAUGUGAAAACCCGGAGCUCAACUCCGGGCCUGCAUCCGAAACUGCCCGACUAGAGGUAGGUAGGGGAGAUCGGAAUUCCUGGUGUAGCGGUGAAAUGCGCAGAUAUCAGGAGGAACACCGGUGGCGAAGGCGGAUCUCUGGGCCUUACCUGACGCUCAGGCGCGAAAGCUAGGGGAGCGAACAGG